GAGUUUGAUCCUGGCUCAGGACGAACGCUGGCGGCGCGCCUAACACAUGCAAGUCGAACGAGCGAGAGAGAGCUUGCUUUCUCGAGCGAGUGGCGAACGGGUGAGUAACGCGUGAGGAACCUGCCUCAAAGAGGGGGACAACAGUUGGAAACGACUGCUAAUACCGCAUAAGCCCACGGGUCGGCAUCGACCAGAGGGAAAAGGAGCAAUCCGCUUUGAGAUGGCCUCGCGUCCGAUUAGCUAGUUGGUGAGGUAACGGCCCACCAAGGCGACGAUCGGUAGCCGGACUGAGAGGUUGAACGGCCACAUUGGGACUGAGACACGGCCCAGACUCCUACGGGAGGCAGCAGUGGGGAAUAUUGCACAAUGGGGGAAACCCUGAUGCAGCGACGCCGCGUGGAGGAAGAAGGUCUUCGGAUUGUAAACUCCUGUUGUUGGGGAAGAUAAUGACGGUACCCAACAAGGAAGUGACGGCUAACUACGUGCCAGCCGCCGCGGUAAUUC
rnacentral:rRNA from 1 species